GAAACGCGAUAGGUAAUGUGAAUUGCAGAAUUCCGUGAAUCAUCGAAUCUUUGAACGCACAUUGCGCCUUCCGGUAUUCCGGUAGGCAUGCCUGUUUGAGCGUCAGCAAAAUACCCUCAGCCUGAGUAUUUUUGUAUUCAACGCUGGUCUUGGGUAGCGGAUGCCGGUGGUUAUUCUUUCCGCCUGUGCCCUCCCUAAACUUGCUGUACGACCGCAAGCCCCCUUCCAGCCAGGUCAAUGGAGUGGUGUUUACAAUCUUCCAAAAAGCCUGCUGGGAAACCGCUUUUGCGGCGUUAAACCUCGACGUCUCCCUUGGCGGGGACUGAAGUUUUGACCUCAGAUCAGACAAGGAUACCCGCUGAACUUAA
rnacentral:misc_RNA from 1 species